rnacentral:rRNA from 1 species
UACAGAGGGUGCGAGCGUUAAUCGGAGUUACUGGGCGUAAAGGGCGCGUAGGCGGUUAUAUAAGUGAGAUGUGAAAUCCCUGGGCUUAACCUAGGAACUGCAUCUCAUACUGUAUGACUGGAGUAUUGUAGAGGGUAGUGGAAUUUCCGGUGUAGCGGUGAAAUGCGUAGAGAUCGGAAGGAACACCAGUGGCGAAGGCGGCUACCUGGACAAAUACUGACGCUGAGGCGCGGAGAGCGUGGGGAGCAAACAGGA